rnacentral:rRNA from 1 species
AGUGAACGCUGGCGGUAGGCCUAACACAUGCAAGUCGAACGGCAGCACAGGAGAGCUUGCUCUCUGGGUGGCGAGUGGCGGACGGGUGAGGAAUACAUCGGAAUCUACUUUUUCGUGGGGGAUAAGGUAGGGAAACUUACGCUAAUACCGCAUACGACCUACGGGUGAAAGCAGGGGACCUUCGGGCCUUGCGCGAUUGAAUGAGGCGAUGUCGGAUUAGCUAGUUGGCGGGGUAAAGGCCCACCGAGGCGACGAUCCGUAGCUGGUCUGAGAGGAUGAUCAGCCACACUGGAACUGAGACACGGUCCAGACUCCUACGGGAGGCAGCAGUGGGGAAUAUUGGACAAUGGGCGCAAGCCUGAUCCAGCCAUACCGCGUGGGUGAAGAGGGCCUUCGGGUUAUAAAGCCCUUUUGUUGGGAAAGAAAUCCAGCUGGCUAAUACCCGGUUGGGAUGACGGUACCCAAAGAAUAAGCACCGGCUAACUUCGUGCCAGCCGCCGCCGUAA